AGUGAUUGAAACAAUUUUAAAUGUCUAUGCAAUGGCAGUUGUAGGUAGAACUUCAAAUUUUGUCUCUGAUGUGCUCAUUUCAUCUUUUUAACACAUUUAUUAUCGAAUUUUUAAAUAAAUCUCAAAUUGUCAAGUUGUUAGCAAUCUGGAUAUGGCUGCGGAGAUCUAGGGUAGGAUUCACGGCCAUUCUGUGUCGGGGUUGUCAUGUUGCUUAAUAGUUGUAGGUUAUCUCUUCUUGGCGGUGGCUGGGUGUGUGCCUCAAGGAAGUCGGAACAUGAAAGAACCAGGAGUCAGUAUAGUUGGAGUCCAGUAAACAGAUCAUAUAGUUGGAGUCGGAGCUUUAAAAGGUCAUGAAGUGCGGAUUUUGACCGCAAGACGUUGCAGCACUUGACCUCCCUCCCCAAGGUGCAAAGUCUAGAUUUGAAUUGUGCGGAAGAACAAAUUUGUUUAGAAACAUCUAAACUUUCAUCUCCAGACGCAGCGUGUAAAAACAGUUGUAGCUGAUGGAGUAAAGGAGAUAUGGUUGAGUAGUGAAGACACUGGAUCAUGUGGUUGUGAAAUUGGGGUUAAUCUUCCAAUAUUAUUGAAUGCUAUUGUUGCUGAACUUCCUUCUGAUGCAAGCACAAUGGUUCGAAUUGGGAUGACAAAUCCACCUUUCAUUCCUGAACACUAGAAAGAGAUAGCAGAAGUUUUGCGCCAUCCAUGUGUGUACUCCUUUCUUCAUGUACCAUGCCGGCUGGAAGUGAUGCCAUUUUGACUGUAUGUCCCAAUAUUGUUGAUCUUUUCUUUUUAGUGCUGAUAGUGGCUUCUCCUUACCCCUGCAACCCUAACAACGAUUCCAGCUGUGGUUUUAUAAUUUAUGUUAGGGUGGCUGCUAGAAAAUAUCAUUGUAUGGGAUCUCCUAUGUAGAUAUACAGGGUCUUGUUGUCAGGCAAUGAAUUGAGAAUACACUGUGAAUGUAUUCAGGACUGUGGUUGACACCUUGACUGAGCUAGUUCCAGAAAUGCAGAUUGCUACCGAUAUAAUAUGUAGAUUCCCAGGUUGGCCACACAAAAGCAUACAAGCAGGUUCUCAUAGUUGCUCCAGAAAGCAUGCUUGGUGCUUCAGCUAUUGUCAAGAUAACCUCUGUUGGAAGGUGGUCACUAAUUGAGACUCUCCACCAAAUAAAUCAGAAAACGAAGUCGGUGGAGAAAACACUCGAGUACAAAUGUUCUCCCUGUUCUGACCCAUGUGAGUGUUGUGAAUAUUCAAGAGAGACAGAAGCUUGUGCUUGUGGGGAUCAGAGAGCUGUGUAGGACCGACUACUUUAGAGCAAAGUAACAUUUCUCAGAAUGGCAUGCUGCCAGAAGACCGAAACAAAAGAAAUCUCAUUGGAUGGUUCCUAAGAAAGUGGGAAAAUCAGUCACAAAAAAUGGCGGUGAAUGGUACUGCCUCGGGAUCCAAAAAAGAAGCAAGACUGGGCCAAAGGAGCGGGUGAUUGGGUGUUGUGGAUAGGACACUUCUAGGAGGAUUAAUUGUCAGCUUUUUUACUGUUGUAGCCUCACUAAUACAUGUUGGAUUUAGGACCGUGUCAUCCUAGUCAACUAUAUAUUUGUAACUUGUCCUGUUUUUUUGGGGGGUCAUCUUCAUAGAAGAUUUGACACGUAUGGAAAUUCUUGUUUUGUAAAUGGCAAGAGUUCUGUUCCAAUGUUAUCGAGGGGAUAGCACAACUCUACUUUGGAUUGCCAAUUCUUUGGGAAUUGUGGAAUGCACUCCUUUCUCUUGGAAUGAUUUACAUGCUUAA